rnacentral:rRNA from 1 species
CGAACGGGUGAGUAAUGCGUGACCAACCUGCCCCAUGCUCCAGAAUAGCUCUUGGAAACGGGUGGUAAUGCUGGAUGCUCCAACUUGACGCAUGUCUUGUUGGGAAAGUGUUUAGUGGCAUGGGAUGGGGUCGCGUCCUAUCAGCUUGUAGGCGGGGUAAUGGCCCACCUAGGCUUCGACGGGUAGCCGGCCUGAGAGGGCGGACGGCCACAUUGGGACUGAGAUACGGCCCAGACUCCCUACGGGAGGCAGCAGCA